CCGUACUUAAGGGCCAGUUCUUUCCAUAAAUGAGUCUCGGGCGUCGUAACAUACGAGAUCUUCUUAACCCACUUGCCCAAGCCUUCUACCACUGAUGGGAUCCAUCGAGUCACUGUAACAUACGAAGGUUGGAGGAUCAAUACAAACAUGAAAUAAUAUUUAGUAAGAGAAAAUAUAUUAAAAAGAAAUCUUAUGAGUACGAUUCCAAGCGCUCGGAAAGGAUGAUGCGGUUGACAGAAUAAUAUUAUUGGUGGCAGUUGCAAAGAACCGUUUCGCCCACCCACGAUCAUUUUCAUCGUCCAUGCUAGUCAACAAAGCAUGGUGGCCACGUUUGCAGAGGUUUAUCAUACAUCCCUGAAAAAUCUUGGGGGAGUAAAGGUUCAUCAUACGAGCUAAUGAUAGCUCUUCCCCAGUUUCCUGACACAGGCAGCGAAGGCAGGCAACCGUCCUCCAUACUGAAGGGCUUACCUGUGCUAAGAACACUUGGUAGCGAAGGCAAAUUUCUGCAAUCACGGAAGGGUCAUUGGCUCCGAUAGAUCAGGAGCGAUGAUAUCCAAUUCAUGGCAACGAUAAUCUUCCUUCACAGCGAGAAUACUGGAAGGACGAAUGGAAGAAGGGUACCUGCUAACAUCCUAUGUACGAGGGUUAGCAUAAAGAAAUUUCUCCUCAAAAUCCUUUACGGUAUUUAGUCUUUUUGGUAUGAUGGAGUCUACGGUUGAAGCGACAAAGUCGUCGAUUUUGUUUUUGCCUUUCGAAGAACCAGUACGUUUUGAAGAGGAAGUAAUCGAAAAAGAGAAAGGGUUUUUGUUUGAAGAAGAUGAAGACUCGGUAGGUGAAAUGAGAUGAAAGAAGUUGAAAUGCAAGGGAGGAAGUUGAUACGUAUAAGUAAAGUUUUGGCGGCUAAAUCCUUGGCUAAGAUUACCUCGAGGCAUUAAAUGCAGAGAGACAAGCGUCUAAUCAACCGUCAGUGGCCUUCAAAAGGAAUUAUAGUAAUUUUCGCCAAAAGAGUGUUUCUACCAACUUUCCGGUAACACAAAGUUAUGUCAUCGGAAAGCAGGGGGACUAUCUGUAUAGGAAAAAAUGCGACAUGACACGUGGCUGCUUAAAGGAAGGAUACGUGGAACACAAGAUGGAGAUGGCCACCGAACAUAGCUAUUCCGCUUGUCACCGGAAAGAAUAACGAUCAUAAAAGGAGUAUUAAAUGCUUUGCGCCCGGUAAAAUUUAAUACAGAAUAUUUUACAGCAUUAAGGAUGAUGGCCCGUUAUAAAAAAUUUGGUAUUUAUGUCUAACGUUACAUCUUCACCAAUGACCCUCAUAAUUGACAUUAAAGAAGGGCAUGAUCCUAGGACUUCAUUCCCUAAACAUAGCUAUAAAUAGAGAGCUCAGUUAUCAUUGUAAGGGACGAAAUUUCUGGCUAACUCACACUACAUUCUAUACAACAUUGUAAUAUAAUUUUAUUCUCUCGCUUUUGAUCUCAUCAUUGUUGUGCCCGGAAACCAUGUUCCCGGACUCAUCAGCUCUGUCAUUCUAUCUACAUUUUAAGGCUAAGUAUUUUACAUUUCAUCGGUUAUUUCAUUAUAUUUUGGAUCAAAUUAAUUUACUUGUUUAAAAACCACGAAUAAAUUUAACUGUAUCGUUUUACCGGUAAACAAAAUGAAAUGUCUGUAAGAACGUAAAGAAUACCCAUUACUAUAUUGGGAAAUCUCAAACAACCUAUUUAGUUACGUAUAAUUGUACCGAUUAAUUGAAGAUAAUCAUUUUUCGAAGAAACAUAAAGAAUGAAAAGAUUUAAGAAAGUAUAACAGCACUAUGAUUAAUGAAAUCUAAUCCUAAUUAUCAGUUAGAUGAGGUGAAAUUAUAAUCUUUACCGAACUAAUGCCACUAUAAUACAAUAGCUUCUUAUUAUAUAUGGCGAACAUCUAUAUAGUAGAAUAAUGGCAAAAAAAAAAAGGAAAGUCAGCAUACUCUAUAUUAUUACCAGCAUUAUCAGUUUUGAUCAAAACCCUACACAAAAAUUCCUACAUAAUGGCUUCCAUAUUGCAAGUCCGUAAUAAUAGGAGAAGUAGAAUCAAAAUUUCAACUUUAUAAGUUUUGAAUUUUAAAACGACAAUUCAACCUCGCCCUGAAUAAGAGUAUAUCUCCAAUAUUUAUUCAUACUCUUUGUUUUUGGUCCCUAUGAGAAAACGUUCAUAGGCUUUGUUUCCAAGUAGAUAUUUUCAAUAGAUCUAUACCUUUUCUUCUUUGACUUGAGAUUAAUAACUUCUUCACCAGACUUUGAUCCCACAUGUUGAUCACUUUUGUUUUUCCUCUUAUUCUUCUUCUCCUUUUCCAGCUUGCUAUAAGUAGCAUCAUCACUUCUCUGCAUUUUCUUUAUCUCUAACUCUGCAGACCCCUCUUGCAAUACAACUUUACAACCAAACAACACUAAAUCACGCAUUUUUCUCUCGUUAAUUAAUUAUAGCUUCCAUGCCUACGUUUGUAAAAAAAUUGGCUUUGUAUUUAAACCAAAACGUGUCUUGGGGGUUUGGAGGGAGAGGGAGAAGUGGGGAGAAACUGCUGUUUGUGUGCGGUGAAGGCAGGGGGAAGCUUCAUGUAUUUAUACAUCUGUGUAUAUAUACGUUUUUUCAAUAUCUUCUCUAUAUUGGUCUGUGUUUGGAUUUAGGAAAAUAUAAGAACUAUAUGUAGUUACUUUAUUUAAGUCAAUUUGUAUUUUGGGUUUACUUAGUCAUCAAUCCCGCCG
rnacentral:lncRNA from 1 species